rnacentral:rRNA from 1 species
GCGAAUGGUGGAUGCCUUGACUGGUAAAGGCGAUGAAGGACGUACUAGACUGCGAUAAGCUACGGGGAGCUGUCAAGAAGCUUUGAUCCGUAGAUUUCCGAAUGGGGCAACCCAAUGUAUAGAGAUAUACAUUACCUAUAUAGGAGCGAACGAGGGGAAUUGAAACAUCUUAGUACCCUCAGGAAAAGAAAUCAAUAGAGAUUGCGUCAGUAGCGGCGAGCGAAAGCGCAAGAGGGCAAACCCAGUGCUUGCACUGGGGGUUGUAGGACUGCAAUGUGCAAGAGCUGAGUUUAGCAGAACAUUCUGGAAAGUAUAGCCAUAGAGGGUGAUAGUCCCGUAUGCGAAAAACAAAGCUUAGCUAGCAGUAUCCUGAGUAGGGCGGGACACGAGGAAUCCUGUCUGAAUCCGGGUCGACCACGAUCCAACCCUAAAUACUAAUACCAGAUCGAUAGUGCACAAGUACCGUGAGGGAAAGGUGAAAAGAACUGAGGUGAUCAGAGUGAAAUAGAACCUGAAACCAUUUGCUUACAAUCAUUCAGAGCACUAUGUAGCAAUACAGUGUGAUGGACUGCCUUUUGCAUAAUGAGCCUGCGAGUUGUGGUGUCUGGCAAGGUUAAGCAAACGCGAAGCCGUAGCGAAAGCGAGUCUGAAUAGGGCGCUUAGUCAGAUGCUGCAGACCCGAAACGAAGUGAUCUAUCCAUGAGCAAGUUGAAGCUAGUGUAAGAACUAGUGGAGGACUGAACCCAUAGGCGUUGAAAAGCCCCGGGAUGACUUGUGGAUAGGGGUGAAAGGCCAAUCAAACUUCGUGAUAGCUGGUUCUCUCCGAAAUAUAUUUAGGUAUAGCGUUGUGUCGUAAUAUAAGGGGGUAGAGCACUGAAUGGGCUAGGGCAUACACCAAUGUACCAAACCCUAUCAAACUCCGAAUACCUUAUAUGUAAUCACAGCAGUCAGGCGGCGAGUGAUAAAAUCCGUCGUCAAGAGGGAAACAACCCAGACUACCAGCUAAGGUCCCUAAAUCUUACUUAAGUGGAAAACGAUGUGAAGUUACUUAAACAACCAGGAGGUUGGCUUAGAAGCAGCCAUCCUUUAAAGAAAGCGUAAUAGCUCACUGGUCUAGUGAUUUUGCGCGGAAAAUAUAACGGGGCUAAAGUAAGUACCGAAGCUGUAGACUUGCACACAA